rnacentral:sRNA from 1 species
GAAGCUCUCCUCGCGGGGCGGGCCGGCCGGCCGCACCCCCGGCCUGGGGCCUCCGGUCGUAGUAAAGCGCAGGCGGGCGGGGAGGCGGGAGCAGGAGCCCGGAGCAGGAGCCCGCGGCCGGCCAGGCGAAGAUGGUGGCGGCUACUCCUCCUGUCAUACACGUGGACCUAACUGCACCAGUAGCUUUUCUGAGAAUACUUGCUGAAAAGGAAGUUUUCUGGAAUGGGUAAGUGUAUUCUGAUUUUCUUGAACUUUUCUUAAAAACAAAUUUUUCUUGCUAUUAAAGUUGAAUAAAUAGGAUUGGUUUCUUAGAGAGUAAAAGUAGGUGUUUCUUACUUUAGACAAUGUACCUUUUCUGAAAAACUAACUCAUUAAGUACGGAUUUGCUAAUUUUAAGGUGGUAAAAUUACAGUGUAAAUAUUCCUGUACAUUUUUGGAAACUGGCUUAUGCAGUUUACGAAAUAUAAUUUUAGACCCUCUUUUAAGUUGGGUGAUAAAGUAGAUAUAACCUGAGAUGAUAGAUUUAAACAGGAUAUUUACGUUCUGCUACAAUUGACUGAUAACACUUAAAAUGUAGUCUGAACAGUAAUUUUGUUAAUCAUUUCGACAAGUAUUUGCUAAGUGGAAGCCAGAAGAGGAGGAAAAUGUUUUGCCACGUGGAUGUGAAGAUUUCCUCUAAAAGGUACACAUGGACUAAAUUGCCUUUAAAUGUUUCAAAAUUAGUUCUCAUUUAUUUGCAGUCUCAUUUUGUUUUGUUUUUUUUCUCUAUGUGUCAAUCCAUUUGGGAGAGGCCAGCCAUUGGAAGAGCCACCACUUCCAGUGCUAGUUGGAUGGUUGGUUAUGAUUGCCUUCUGUAAAGAAUUCUUAAGGCAUAAAUACGUGUCUAAAUGGACCUCAUGUCUUUGAGAUAAUUAAACUAAUUUUCUCUUCCCCAUUAGGGAUUAUGCUGAAUUUGUAUGGUUUAUAGUUGUUAGAGUUUGAGGUGUUAAUUCUAAUUAUCUAUUUCAAAUUUAGCAGGAAAAAAGAGAACAUCACCUUGUAAAACGGAAGAUUGUGACCAGUCAGAAUAAUGUCAAAGUGCUUACAGUGCAGGUAGUGAUAUGUGCAUCUACUGCAGUGAAGGCACUUGUAGCAUUAUGGUGACAGCUGCCUCGGGAAGCCAAGUUGGGCUUUAAAGUGCAGGGCCUGCUGAUGUUGAGUGCUUUUUGUUCUAAGGUGCAUCUAGUGCAGAUAGUGAAGUAGAUUAGCAUCUACUGCCCUAAGUGCUCCUUCUGGCAUAAGAAGUUAUGUAUUCAUCCAAUAAUUCAAGCCAAGCAAGUAUAUAGGUGUUUUAAUAGUUUUUGUUUGCAGUCCUCUGUUAGUUUUGCAUAGUUGCACUACAAGAAGAAUGUAGUUGUGCAAAUCUAUGCAAAACUGAUGGUGGCCUGCUAUUUCCUUCAAAUGAAUGAUUUUUACUAAUUUUGUGUACUUUUAUUGUGUCGAUGUAGAAUCUGCCUGGUGUAUCUGAUGUGACAGCUUCUGUAGCACUAAAGUGCUUAUAGUGCAGGUAGUGUUUAGUUAUCUACUGCAUUAUGAGCACUUAAAGUACUGCUAGCUGUAGAACUCCAGCUUCGGCCUGUCGCCCAAUCAAACUGUCCUGUUACUGAACACUGUUCUAUGGUUAGUUUUGCAGGUUUGCAUCCAGCUGUGUGAUAUUCUGCUGUGCAAAUCCAUGCAAAACUGACUGUGGUAGUGAAAAGUCUGUAGAAAAGUAAGGGAAACUCAAACCCCUUUCUACACAGGUUGGGAUCGGUUGCAAUGCUGUGUUUCUGUAUGGUAUUGCACUUGUCCCGGCCUGUUGAGUUUGGUGGGGAUUGUGACCAGAAGAUUUUGAAAAUUAAAUAUUACUGAAGAUUUCGACUUCCACUGUUAAAUGUACAAGAUACAUGAAAUAUUAAAGAAAAUGUGUAACUUUUUGUUUAAAUACAUCUUGUCUUGUUUUCAUUCAAAAACAUUUCACUUUUGGGGUUGCGUGUCAGAUUUGGCAGUAUAAAUUCUGGCUAUAUUUUUGUUGUUAGAUUUAUUUGGCUGUUAAGUAUUGCAAUGUGACUAAACAUACUGUAUACCUAAUGAUCAUCUGUAAAGUUAGAAUAUACCUUUUUGCUAUCUUUGGAGUUAGUGUUAUUCCAGGAUAUUUUACUUAAUCUAAAAGUUAAUUUAUGUUGCUCAUAUAUUACUCAAGUAUUUAAAUUUAGAGAGAAUGCCUCUCUGUUUAAAGCAAUGUGUAAAGAUGGGUUUUUUAAAGCAUGGAAUUUAGGGUGGGGGUACAAUUUGUUUCUAUUAAGCAAGUACUAGUUUACCAAUACAUAAGUAACUGAAGUGUAACUGUUAAAUGCUUGUAUACUAGUUUUUCUUUCUGAUUGUCAGUGAUUUAUAAGCUAUAAAUGACCAAGGUCCUCAGACUGUAAAAAAAUGAGAGUUAGAAAAAGAACAAAUGCUAAAUAGAGUAACAGUUAAAUGUAUGUGUACCCUCUUCCCAAAUGCCAAGAGUGCAGCGGUGGGGUGAGAUUCAGAUAUUCAUUUAUUUCUAAGUCUGUAGUUAACAUUUAUGUUCCCUACUCCCUACGUAAGCCAGACUUUGGCAACAGUGAUAGUUGAUUCCAGGCUUAUUUGACUUAAAGUCACUGAAGUGGAAACUAAGAAGUGGCAGUUAGUGUUUUAUCCAACAUUUCUGCCUUCUCUCUCUUCUUCAUGUGUUUUUGUCUCUAGCCUAUGUGUAUAUGUAUAGAAUAAUGUGGGAUACCUGAAUAAUAGAUUUAAAAGGACAAAGUGGUAAAUUGGACCCAAGCUGAAGUACAG